CUUCAGUUAGCUUAAUGAUUAAGGCUAUGGAUCGCCAAUCCGGAGACUACGGGUUCCAUUCCCGUUCCAAGGG
rfam:Aedes albopictus isolate Foshan contig28906, whole genome shotgun sequence.